UAGGACAGAAAGUCUGAUAGUGCGACGCCGCGUGAACGAUGAAUCCCUUCGGGGUGUAAAGUUCUUUUAUAUGUGAGCAAUGCCUUAUAUGUGAAUAGCAUGUAGGGAGAGAUAUUAGCAUAUGAAUAAGCAACGGCUAACUCCGUGCCAGCAGCCGCGGUAAUUAAU
rnacentral:rRNA from 1 species